rnacentral:rRNA from 1 species
UACGUAGGGGGCAAGCGUUGUCCGGAUUUAUUGGGCGUAAAGCGCUCGCAGGCGGUCCGCUGCGUCGUGCGUGAAAGACCCCGGCUCAACUGGGGGAUGUCGUGCGAUACGGGCGGACUGGAGGCCAGUAGGGGGAUGCGGAAUUCCGGGUGUAGUGGUGGAAUGCGUAGAGAUCCGGAGGAACACCAGCGGCGAAGGCGGCAUCCUGGACUGGUCCUGACACUCAGGAGCGAAAGCGUGGGGAGCGAUCCGG